rnacentral:rRNA from 1 species
UACGGGGGGGGCAAGCGUUGUUCGGAAUUACUGGGCGUAAAGAGCUCGUAGGCGGUUUGUCACGUCUGCUGUGAAAUCCCGAGGCUCAACCUCGGGCCUGCAGUGGGUACGGGCAGACUGGAGUGCGGUAGGGGAGAAUGGAAUUCCUGGUGUAGCGGUGGAAUGCGCAGAUAUCAGGAGGAACACCGAUGGCGAAGGCAGUUCUCUGGGCCGUAACUGACGCUGAGGAGCGAAAGCGUGGGGAGCGAACAGG